UUACUAUUUUACGCACUGAGUAAUUUAAAUAUGAUUUAGCGGCACUUCUCACGACAGUAAACCCGAUGCAGUAAUCGGUAGCAAGUACAACGCUAGUGGAACAAAGGGACGUAGAUGAUUUAUAACAACUUCUAAGCAUUUUUGACAACAUGGCCGCACUGUGCUUUAAAGUGAGUGCGGAAAAUUUUUUUCGUGAGGAAAGCCGCAGCAGUUCAGUUAUUGUGAAAGAGAAAAUAUCGCAGGGCAAUACAUUCUCAGUACACAAUUCUACGUCCCAAAUAUAGUGUUUUUUUUUUCCUCUCUAGGUCUGCGCCUUUUAUCGUGAUUUCAGCGGUGCUGCCCCUUUUAUUCAUAGGAAUGAUUAUCGCUGCAUCGGCACUCAUCUUCAAACCAUCUGACAAAGCAUCCACCGCCUACACAUUCUCCAGAUCCUCCUCCUCCUCUCUCCACUCGAGCAGCUCUGUGACGCCAAGCCUUACGACAACCAAAGCACAGACACAUCCCCUGCCUCAGGCAGCUGAACGGCUGUUUGUGUGCGUUUUGAAGAACUACGGCGUCGUGGUGCCAGACGGAUUAUGUGACGUCUUGUUGCUCACCUACC